GCAGCCCUGGGAAGCCAAUGGCGGGGCUGCGGGCGGGGAGAGGGAGCCGGAGCGCCGAGCCGCGGCGGAGAGAGGGGCCCUGGAUCCGGCAGUGGGGGUCGGAGGCUUCUACAGAGGUCUGAGGGAGGCUUCCGGAGGGGCCCUACUCCAGAACAAUCCAGCCCCGCCCAGCUUGGCGAAGCAGGAGCGUCUGCAGCGCCACCUGGCGGCCGUCAGGAGCUCCGCAGCCCAAGCCGGAGAGGAAGAGUUCGUCUCUGAGAGAGCCUGAGCCAGCAGAGUCACGCAGGGAAUCCAGACCCAGCCGACUCUGUUCGCCCAGCCCCCUUCCAAAGGCCACCCGGGAUUGGAAAUAGAGCCAGCCGCCACCCCACGCCAUUUCCUUCCAGUCUGCCCCACCGACAGCCGAGGCCAGGCUCUGGGAUGGAGGUUCCAGGAGGGUGGGAACGAGUCUUGCCCCCCCUCCCUGAUUGCCUCCCCCGCCCCCCUCCCCAGAUCACGUUUCCAGCUCCCUAUUUCUUCCCUCAGUCCUCAGGCUGUAUUCCCACCGCUAACCGGCUGGGCCGCGGGUGGGUGGAGAACUGAGACCGUGGGCUUCCAGGGCCUAGAGAGUUUGGGGGUGGGGCCUCUGCGAGGGCAACGCCCCCUCCCCAGCCCCUUUGGAGCAUCCCUCCCCCCCUCCCCCCAGCUCGCGGGAGUUCCGCUGAGUCGCUUCCGAGGCUGCCUCUGCAGCCCCAGGGGGAACAGUGCCAUUCGAUUACCUAGGCAGCGGCCCAGCGCUCACCUGGGAGACCCGACUACCGUCUUGUCUAAACGGCUCUUCGUGUCUAGCGAAGCCAACCCCACCUCAUCCCCUGCCGUUCUCCCCCAGCCACCGUGGUGGCCGUGCAAGCCGCUACCUCAGGGCCUUUGCACUGGCUUGUGUCCUCUCACUGGCACACCCCUCCCUGCGCAUCUGUAACCUGUACAUUCUUCCCACGGUCACUGCCAAGGCCUCUGCUCCAGUGGGGAUGUGUCAGAUGGGAGCAAGGGGGCACCUGCCACCGUGACCCGCAGAUGCUUGGGUGGCCAGUUAGAUUGGAAAAGAUGCAGACUGCAAACCGGGAGCGCCACGUGCUGCGUGGUGCAAGUGACAGGUGCGCGCGCCCGGUCUGCGUGACCGUGUGUGCCUCAGCGCGAGGCUGCAGGUGCGUAGCGGGAGCACAGGCGCGCGCUGAGCGCGCACCCCACGAAUUCCCCGCCAGCCCAGAUGCCCAUCUUGGAGCUAUUGUCUCCCGGCUCCAAGCCCACCUUUCACAGCGAGGCUCUGGCUGGGGCUCUGAAAACUACAAUUCCCAGAAUCCUUGUCGCCCCCGGAAUUCCUGCUAGGUUCGGCCAGUAGGAGGCGUCAGGGCUCUUAACCUUUCCCGUGCCGGGAACCUUGCGGUCGCCUGUGGCACCUAAGGAUACACACGGUCCUCUUCUCAGAAAUACGCUGUUCACAAAACGUUGAAGACUUUAACUUGUGUUUUUACUGCAUCCUGCAUUUUAAAAUUUGUGGCGAAGUAACAGAACUUCCCCAUCGCCAACAAUUUUAACUUUAGAGUUUAGUAGUAAGCACAUUAAUUCCGUUGUGAGACAGCACCCCAGAACUUUCGCCUCUUGCAAAUCGGAAAGCCUCCACGCGUUAAAUUCCCUUUCCCCCCAAUGCCCCUGGUAACCACCUUUGUGCUGUUUCUGAGUAUGACUCCUUUAGAUACCUCGUAUAACUGCAAUCAUACAGUAUUUGUUUUUUGGCGUCUGGCUGAGUCACUCAGCGUAAUGUGCUCAAGGUUCAUGCAUGUUGUAGCAGAGUGAACGUUUCCUUCUCGUCCUUUUAAAACUGGAAUUAUAGGGGCGCCCGGCGGGUUCAGGCAGUGGAGCAAGCGACUCUUGAUCUUGGGGUUACGGGUUCUAGCCCUACACUGGGUGUAGAGAUGACCUUAAAAAUAAAAUCUUUAAAAAUAAAUAGAUAGAAG